UACGCGUGGGAUCUACCUUUUGCUACGGAAUAACUCAGGGAAACUUGUGCUAAUACCGUAUGUGUCCUUCGGGGGAAAGAUUUAUCGGCAAAGGAUGAGCCCGCGUUGGAUUAGCUAGUUGGUGGGGUAAAGGCCCACCAAGGCGACGAUCCAUAGCUGGUCUGAGAGGAUGAUCAGCCACACUGGGACUGAGACACGGCCCAGACUCCUACGGGAGGCAGCAGUGGGGAAUAUUGGACAAUGGGCGCAAGCCUGAUCCAGCCAUGCCGCGUGAGUGAUGAAGGCCCUAGGGUUGUAAAGCUCUUUCACCGGUGAAGAUAAUGACGGUAACCGGAGAAGAAGCCCCGGCUAACUUCGUGCCAGCAGCCGCGGUAAUACGAAGGGGGCUAGCGUUGUUCGGAUUUACUGGGCGUAAAGCGCACGUAGGCGGACUUUUAAGUCAGGGGUGAAAUCCCAGAGCUCAACUCUGGAACUGCCUUUGAUACUGGAAGUCUUGAGUAUGGUAGAGGUGAGUGGAAUUCCGAGUGUAGAGGUGAAAUUCGUAGAUAUUCGGAGGAA
rnacentral:rRNA from 2 species